rnacentral:rRNA from 1 species
AUGGGAACGCGAAGAACCUUACCUACUCUUGACAUCCAGAGAACUUAGCAGAGAUGCUUUGGUGCCUUCGGGAACUCUGAGACAGGUGCUGCAUGGCUGUCGUCAGCUCGUGUUGUGAAAUGUUGGGUUAAGUCCCGCAACGAGCGCAACCCUUAUCCUUUGUUGCCAGCGGUCCGGCCGGGAACUCAAAGGAGACUGCCAGUGAUAAACUGGAGGAAGGUGGGGAUGACGUCAAGUCAUCAUGGCCCUUACGAGUAGGGCUACACACGUGCUACAAUGGCGCAUACAAAGAGAGGCGACCUCGCGAGAGCAAGCGGACCUCAUAAAGUGCGUCGUAGUCCGGAUUGGAGUCUGCAACUCGACUCCAUGAAGUCGGAAUCGCUAGUAAUCGUAGAUCAGAAUGCUACGGUGAAUACGUUCCCGGGUCUUGUACACACCG